rnacentral:rRNA from 1 species
UACGUAGGGGGCAAGCGUUGUUCGGAAUUACUGGGCGUAAAGGGCGCGUAGGCGGCACAGCAAGUCGGGAGUGAAAGCCCGGGGCUCAACCCCGGAAUGGCUUUCGAAACUGCUGAGCUAGAGUACAGAAGGGGCAACCGGAAUUCCCAGUGUAGCGGUGAAAUGCGUAGAUAUUGGGGAGAACACCUGAGGCGAAGGCGGGUUGCUGGGCUGAUACUGACGCUGAGGCGUGAAAGCCAGGGGAGCAAACGGG